rnacentral:rRNA from 1 species
AUUGAACGCUGGCGGCAUGCUUUACACAUGCAAGUCGGACGGCAGCACAGAGAAGCUUGCUUCUUGGGUGGCGAGUGGCGAACGGGUGAGUAAUAUAUCGGAACGUACCGAGUAAUGGGGGAUAACUAAUCGAAAGAUUAGCUAAUACCGCAUAUUCUCUGAGGAGGAAAGCAGGGGACCUUCGGGCCUUGCGUUAUUCGAGCGGCCGAUAUCUGAUUAGCUAGUUGGUGGGGUAAAGGCCUACCAAGGCGACGAUCAGUAGCGGGUCUGAGAGGAUGAUACGCCACACUGGGACGUAGACACGGCCCAGACUCCUGCGGGAGGCAGCAGUGGGGAAUUUUGGACAAUGGGCGCAAGCCUGAUCCAGCCAUGCCGCGUGUCUGAAGAAGGCCUUCGGGUUGUAAAGGACUUUUGUCAGGGAAGAAAAGGCUGUUGCUAAUACCGACAGCUGAUGACGGUACCUGAAGAAUAAGCACCGGCUAACUACGUG